GACAACGUAAGUUUUAUUAAUCACAUAAAGAUAAAGGGAACUACAGAAUUCAUCUUCUACACAAUGGACAACUAGAAUGCCAUCUAGUUAUACAACUAAAAUGGAACAGGUGACCGCAUUCCAAACUGGCCAAUGGAAGUCUAGAGUGGCUAAAUUCUUCAAGACAUAUGGCGCAUUCUUCCCCAACUUCGAAAUUGAAGUUCUCGAUAGCAAUAGGUGAAUAUCUUGGAACAGUCUGUGUCUGAUCAGCAGUACCAACAUCUGGAAUGUUGGUGGGUAAACUCUGCUCAACUAGAGAAUUAUAAUAAGCUAUAAAACUAGUGACAAUGUAGUAUAAGAGAAAACCUAAAACUAAGCUACAGGCUAUAGCCAGAGUAACCCAACCAAACAACACCAGUGUUCUGUUCAGGUCAGUUGAUUUGUUAUUAUGUGUCACUGAAUCCAUGACAAAAACGUAAAGGUAACUUAGAGAGGAAGAAGAAAGCUUUGAGAUUUUUUGAAGAACCUGCCCUGUUGUUCUUUUCCACGUCGCUGCUGCGACUCAAACCUUUCUUUUUUUUUUCGUCAGCUGCGACUCAACCUUUUAGAAGAUUUGAGUUCUCAUCUUUUGUUUAGGUAGGUUACAGAGUAGUGCCGGCGAAACGUUGGAAAGGUGUGCAAUUGCAGAUAUCUAAAGAACCCGGCGAAUUCAACUCUACGUGGACAAGGGAAAGAUGGUUUUUUUUCUUAAAGUCUCAUUAUAUUGAGAGAAAGAACAAAACAAAAGAAAAGGAGACUCUCUUAGUGAAAUGGUUCGCUGGUAAGACGUCCGACUAAAAGAAAGGACUAAACGUUUCCCGUUCGGCGACCUCUUUCACCAUCGCAAAGUAGGUAUGGAAGACGACGCUUUAGCUUCCGCCGAUGAAAAUCAUAUCGGAGAUGGUGACGUUCCUCCAAUUACCGGAGGUCCAGAUGUCGAUGAGUCGCAAUCAUCUCAUCAGAUCAAUGUCGUCGCAACUGUGAGUUCGUUAUAUCUCUAAGAUUGAUUGGAACAUUGCUACAUUAGAUUGAUUCUCUUGGUUGAUGAUAGGAAAUUGAGGUAAAUUUGAUUCAUUCCGUAGUUUAUAAUGUCGAUGAGGAAAGGCAGAGUCUUUCGAAUCAAAAUAACACUGAGCUCCUGAUUUUGAUGAUGAUAAAAUAUCAAUUUUAUGGAUUGAUGAGACGUGACUUCUCCAAGAGCAAUUGAGGAUCGAAUGCUGAAUCCGUUUGAGCCUCCAUCGACAAGUUUCUGAAUUGGGUUUCACCAGUCGAGCAUUGAGGAUGGGAAGAGAGAAGAAGAAGGAAGAUGAGCAAUUGCGCAUAUCUUAAAAUACACAACAUGGAUAUAGUUUAGUCAAUUUUUAUUUCUCUUGCAAAUUUGAUAUAGUUUUGGUUGAUACAUAUUUGAUUCAUUAAGUACCACAAUUUCCA